CCAGCCUCUAGCUAUAAGAGACAACUAACAGAGUUGGCAAGCCGUUCUUGUACAUCAGCAAACCUUAUUUUUACCACCAUCUCAUCCUCCUUAAUUAGCAAGCCUUAUUUUCCCUACUAUCACCAACAUAUCAUCCUCCGAUUGAGAUGCAGAUCUUGGCCUCUUCACUCAUCCAUGUGCUUCCUUACUUUAACGUCGACGCCGGCCGUUGCGGGACACGGGGGCUGAAGAGCUAGAGUAGCAAGUCACCGGGGUACGUGCUGUGGCUGGCCGGACGUCCGGCGAGGGAGGCAACCAGAGGGAUGCAUGUUCUCUCUGCCGGCACGCGCACGAAAGCAGCAACACCUAAUUUCGGAUUACCAUCGAGGGGGGCGACAAUCAAUUUGUAGCCCAUUUAUGAGAUCAAAGGAGAAUUCCCUCAAGAAGACACGCCUAAAACUGAAGAUUUCAUGCAAAGGACAAAGGAUAAAAAGCAGAGAAUUAACCAGUUGCAGAAUUUACUUGGUCACUGGACAAUGAUGGCUAAUUUUAUCAAUACUGAAAACAGACAGAAAUUUUACUGCCGCGGACAAUGAUUAUGGAGACAUACUCAAAGCAAACGAACCUAUGCAUGAAGAGCUCUUAACGAUAUAGGUGUGUUCACGCCCUCGCGAUGCAUCAAGGAUGCGGGCACUGGCUAACUGGCUGGCCGACCGUAGAGAAGAGGUCCAUGGUGCAUCUGAUGGCUGAGGAGGCCGCCCUGCGCUCACAUCAGAGGAACUAAAAAAAUAAGGAGUAUGGGAAGUGUCUUACAGAACCAGUAUUGCGAGUCCAACCUCUACCAAGACAUCAGUAGGCCAUGAGACGAAAACCUCGCAGAAUGAUAGCUGGUCAUAACAGAUUGCUCAAACACGAGAAAAGCAACAACCGGCAUCCUAACAAAAAAACAAGUCCAAAAGCACAAAGCAGCUACAACUUAGCAAUAUCAGGCUCAGCAGAGAGACUGCAAGACGAAGCAGUGGCCUGAGUAUCCUUCAUCGCGUGACAAAUCUUCAUGGGGGGUCAUACAUUAAUUUGGGCAAUUGGAAAUUAAGGUUGCGUCAGUUAGAGUUACUGAAUCCCUUUGAGAUUGGCAAUGCUACCAUCCACUUGAGGCAACUCUUGCUCCGCCAUUCUGUAAGUAGGAUUGCAUUGCACAGAUUGUAGUAUUGUACAUCGCUAAAGAAGACCUCUGAAGAAAUUACCUUCCAAAAAUGCGCAAUUUUUUUAUGGUAUCACGCCCAUAAUCUUCUUUGUGGUUCAACACAUCUUCUAUUUGUAAUUACUGGUGUGUGCUUAAUGUAUUUCUGAAUAAUCAAAAUAUCUUGAUGUUUGCAGGUUACUUUUGUUAGAGUUUUGCAACUGUCUUCCAGUCAUUUUCAUGUGUUAAUGUCGUGAGUUACUCAGGAUAUAUGCGCACCUAAGAAUAACAAGUAUAGGUCUGAACAGUUGAAGGAAGGUGAAAAAAAACAAUUGAGGAAUAUCAACAUAUCUUUUCUGUCCAUUCUCAUUAGUCUUGCGUGAACCUAAAAAUUGUAUUGUGAAACAGGAUACAGAUUGUUUGAAACAUGCCAAAACU